AUCCAGAUGAGAAGUCCCAAAUAGGACGAAAUGCGCGUCUUGGAU
rnacentral:hammerhead_ribozyme from 1 species